rnacentral:rRNA from 1 species
CCUACGGGAGGCAGCAGUGGGGGAUAUUGCACAAUGGGGGGAACCCUGAUGCAGCGACGCCGCGUGGGUGAAGGAGCGUUUCGGCGCGUAACGCCCUAUCGGCAGGGAAGAAGGAGGACGGUACCUGACUAAGAAGCCCCGGCUAACUACGUGCCAGCAGCCGCGGUAAUACGGAGGGGGCAAGCGUUAUCCGGAUUUACUGGGUGUAAAGGGGGCGCAGACGGCAGCGCAAGCCAGGAGUGAAAGCCCGGGGCCCAACCCCGGGACUGCUCUUGGAACUGCGCGGCUGGAGUGCAGGAGGGGCAGGCGGAAUUCCUGGUGUAGCGGUGAAAUGCGUAGAUAUCAGGAGGAACACCGGUGGCGAAGGCGGACUGCUGGACUGCGACUGACGUUGAGGCCCGAAAGCGUGGGGAGCAAACAGGAUUAGAUACCCCAGUAGUC